rnacentral:tRNA from 3 species
AGAGAGGUGUCCGAGUGGUUGAAGGAGCACGCCUGGAAAGUGUGUAAACGGGAAACUGUUUCGAGGGUUCGAAUCCCUUCCUCUCUG